AAACACAGCUCGAUAAAAGAAUUACUGGAAAAUGACGGGCAGUUUCAAAGCCAUAUACUUUACUAAUCCUCAGCGUCGGUACCUCUAGAAUUACUUGUUUAUUAUUCGUUUUAUGACGUAUCAACUACAUUUCACAGGGCCGAAGUUGAUGCUUUUUGACUUCGAAAUGACAAGAAAAUGUCGCGCCCAUUGUGUUGCGGCAUAGCCCUUCUUGAUUCAUAACACCAUUCAUUCAUUCAAUGAUCAGAUCAUUUUAGUGCCAUGCCUUUCCUGGCUUUACAUGACACCAUUGAUUUUAUUCGAGAGCUGAGCUUUAGACCAAAAAGAUAAAAAAACGAAACGCAAACUGUCCUGCCAAACUAUAUUAGUCAGCUUGGCUAAUGGCAACAAAUUUACCAAAGUAUAAAUAUACGCCGCUCGGGGGUUUAUUCUAAGACUGGUCUCUCGGCCCUUAUCUCUAUUUUAUUGCACUUAAUCUUAGAGAGUCUUCAGUUCAAACCGCCACAAUUACCACCCCACACGGUCACAAUUUAAGAUUUAGUUACAAUACCACAUUUCAAACAUCAACAUCUACUGCAUUCAAGACAUGCUUUUCAACAUGAGGAAUGCUUGUACCCUCUCAGUUGUGAUUCUCACUCUUUGUGUCACCUUCUCUUACGGAGGUUCCCUCUCCAAACGUGAUGUGGGAGAGGACAUUCAGGAUCACUUUUUCAAAAGGAAACUUUGUGUUCAGGAUGCGAAUUGUUCCGUUCUGGAAUACUGUGAUCAUUCAUACCUUCAGUUCCAAUGUAAAAUGUACGGAUGGGCUAUUGCUGUGAUUGUCAUCGUCGUCUUGGUAAUCUUAUUGGCUAUAAUUGGAUGCUGUUGCCGUUGCCUAUCUUGUUGUUGUUGUUACAACAAGUGCCGAAAACAUGAUGGAUCAAGCGAGUAAUCUGUCAUGGAAUGAAUAAAAUAUGAUUUGUACCUGUUUGUUUUUUUCUAAAAACUCAUCUCACCUUACACGAUAAACUUUUUCAUGAC